GACUGUGUAUUAGCUGCAAAUUGUUCAAUUCAUAAAUACUGAGGGUUUACAGUAAUCGAUCAAUAGAAAACAAUAAUUGCGUAGUUCUUGCGUCACAAGUCUUAAGUUCGCUCAAUAUUCCCAUUGGCGUUGUUUUUAUACACUAAGCAGAGUGUUAGACCAGUGCAGAAGCCUUUGAAAAUGCCUGUCCAGCCCGUUCACUUACACACUAAGUACAUCCCCCAAAAUGUAUCAAAAACCACAUAAUGCUUGCAUAAGCGAUUGUCUAUUAGCGAUAAAUAACAAUUAUUCAGCGCCUACAAAGCAUAACGCACAGCAACAACUAGCAAUCGCUGAAUAGAGAAGGUGAAUUGCUGGAUUUUUUGUCUUUAAUCCCGGGACGGCCGGGACGCUUAACUUGGAGCCCGGACGAAUGGUCAGCUAAACCUAACCUCACAAUUGUUACAAUUUUUCCGACUUCAUCGAUUAAGUAUGAACUAACGAAAUCUUACCUAAUAUUUCAUAUAAAAGCUGAAAAGAUUUUU